GAUGAACGCUGGCGGCGUGCCUAACACAUGCAAGUCGAACGGACUUUGGUGAAACCUAGUGAUCCAAAGUUAGUGGCGGACGGGUGAGUAACGCGUGGGUAACCUGCCUCACACUGGGGGAUAACAGUUAGAAAUGACUGCUAAUACCGCAUAAGUGCACAGUACCGCAUGGUCUGAUUACCAAAGAUUUAUUGCGCAAGGAUGGGCUCGCGUUGGAUUAGAUAGUUGGUAGGGUAACGGCCUACCAAGUCUGCGAUCCAUAGCCGGACUGAGAGGUUGAACGGCCACAUUGGAACUGAGAUACGGUCCAGACUCCUAGGGAGGCAGCAGUGGGGAAUAUUGGGCAAUGGGCGAAAAGCCUGACCCAGCGACGCCGCGUGAAGGAAGAAGGUCUUCGGAUUGUAAACUUCUUUAUUAGGACGAACAGAUGACGGUACCUAAUGAAUAAGCCACGGCUAACUACGUGCCAGCAG
rnacentral:rRNA from 1 species